AGUGAACGCUGGCGGCGUGCCUAACACAUGCAAGUCGAACGAUGGUGGAGGAGCUUGCUCUUCCUGAUUAGUGGCGCACGGGUGAGUAAUGCAUAGAUAAUGUGCCCCUUAGUUCGGAAUAGCCACUGGAAACGGUGAUUAAUACCGGAUACUCCUUCUUGUCACAAGGCAAGUCGGGAAAGUUUUUCGCUAAGGGAUCAGUCUAUGUUCCAUCAGUUAGUUGGUGAGGUAACGGCUCACCAAGACUAUGACGGAUAUCUGGUUUGAGAGGAUGAUCAGACACACUGGAACUGAGACACGGUCCAGACUCCUACGGGAGGCAGCAGUGAGGAAUAUUGCACAAUGGAGGAAACUCUGAUGCAGCAACGCCGCGUGGAGGAUGACGCAUUUCGGUGUGUAAACUCCUUUUAUUAGGGAAGAUUAUGACGGUACCUAAUGAAUAAGCACCGGCUAACUCCGUGCCAGCAGCCGCGGUAACAC
rnacentral:rRNA from 1 species